UACGAAGGGGGCUAGCGUUGCUCGGAAUCACUGGGCGUAAAGGGCGCGUAGGCGGAUCUUUAAGUCAGGGGUGAAAGCCUGAGGCUCAACCUCAGAAUUGCCUUUGAUACUGAAGAUCUUGAGACCGGAAGAGGUAAGUGGAACUGCGAGUGUAGAGGUGAAAUUCGUAGAUAUUCGCAAGAACACCAGUGGCGAAGGCGGCUUACUGGUCCGGUUCUGACGCUGAGGCACGAAAGCGUGGGGAGCAAACAGG
rnacentral:rRNA from 1 species